UCUCAGGUCCACAGCCUCACUUCAUCAAAGAAAGCCAUUCUUGACCCUCAUCAGCAGUCAUAUGAAAUGGCAAAAGCCUCUGCCAACAGGAAUGGAGGAAAAAAAUGAGCUUAAAAAAUGUAAACAACUGGCAGUGUUAAAUACAGAGGGUCCAGAGCUGGAGAAACGACUUUCUCUUAAUUUAUCUGCAUUUCCUGCCCUGUGGCCUGCAGUGACAUUCAAUGGGCUAACUGACACCAACUAAUAGCUGACCUGUGGAAAUAAUAGUGAAUUUUCCUGCAGGAUUCAGAAGCCAGCUAGCAGAAGCUUCUGGGUGAGUAUUCUUCUAUUUGCAAAGGGACUUGUAGCACACAGUUUAAUCUUACACAGGGUAAGACU